rnacentral:rRNA from 1 species
GUGAGGGAAAGGUGAAAAGCACCCCGACAAGGGGAGUGAAACAGAUCCUGAAAUCGGAAGCCUACAAGCAGUCGGAGCCGCCAAGCGCGGUGACGGCGUACCUUUUGUAUAAUGGGUCAGCGACUUCAUGUGUCGAGCAAGCUUAAGCCGUUAGGUGUAGGCGCAGCGAAAGCGAGUCUGAAUAGGGCGCUAAGUUCGACGUAUGACGACCCGAAACCAGGUGAUCUAUCCAUGAG